rnacentral:rRNA from 1 species
AUUGAACGCUGGCGGCAGGCGUAACACAUGCAAGUCGAACGCACCGCAAGGUGAGUGGCGCACGGGUGAGUAACACGUGGGAAUGUACCCUUUGGUUCGGAAUAACGUUUGGAAACGAACGCUAAUACCGGAUGAGCCCUGCGGGGGAAAGAUUUAUCGCCAAAGGAGCAGCCCGCGUCUGAUUAGCUAGUUGGUGGGGUAAAGGCCUACCAUGGCGACGAGCAGUAGCUGUCUGAGAGGAUGAUCAGCUACACUGGUACUGAGACUCGACCCAGACUCCUACGUGUGGCAGAGGUGGGGAAUAUUGGCCAAUGGGCGCAAGCCUGAUCCAGCCAUGCCGCGUGAGUGAUGAAGGCCUUCGGGUUGUAAAGCUCUUUCGCACACGACUAUGAUGACGGUAGUGUGAGAAGAAGCCCCGGCUAACUUCCUGCCAGCCGCCGCCGUAA